rnacentral:rRNA from 1 species
CAAUAGCGUAUAUUAAAGUUGUUGCGGUUAAAAAGCUCGUAGUUGGAUUUCUGCUGAGGACGACCGGUCCGCCCUCUGGGUGUGUAUCUGGUUUGGCCUGGGCAUCUUCUUGGAGAACGUAGCUGCACUUGACUGUGUGGUGCGGUGUCCAGGACUUUUACUUUGAGGAAAUUAGAGUGUUUCAAGCAGGCACACGCCUUGAAUACAUUAGCAUGGAAUAAUAAGAUAGGACCUCGGUUCUAUUUUGUUGGUUUCUAGAGCUGAGGUAAUGAUUAAUAGGGAUAGUUGGGGGCAUUCGUAUUUAACUGUCAGAGGCGAAAUUCUUGGAUUUGUUAAAGACGGACUACUGCGAAAGCAUUUGCCAAGGAUGUUUUCAUUGA